rnacentral:lncRNA from 1 species
CAUGCUUAAGAACCUCAAACUAUGCGGCACGGGCUUCCAUGGUCUCGACAGGAAAGAAGUGGUCCAUGAAGGCAUCUACGAACUCAUCCUAUCUAGCUGGAGGUCUCCCCUCCUCACGGGAAUCCUCCCACAUCUCACACAACGAACGUGCCACUCUCUUCUACCUGUAUGAAGCCAAUUCUAACCCUUCUAUCUCUGUAGCCUUCAUCACUCGAAGAGUCUUUUACAUCUCGUCAAGGAAAUCCUGCGGAUCGGCCUCUGGGUCUGUUCCUGAGAACUAUGGAGGGGACAGUCACAGAAAAUGAUGAACUCUAGGGAUGGAGGAAUCUCCCUGUCCGCUGGAGGACACAGGGGCAUCAUGAG